UCCUUCCCCGCCGCUGCCCGGCCUCCUCCCCACCCGCGCCUCCCUCUCCUUCUUCCCCGCUGCCACCCAGACUCCUCCCUUCACGCCCUUCUCCUUCCAACCCUCCGAUCAGAGAAAAGGAGAAGAAGGGGUUGGAUGAGCAAGAAGCAGAAGGACUAGAACAAGAAGAAGGGAAGGGAGGUGGGGCCAUAUGCAUGUCCAUGGAGGGUGGACCUCAUUUACUGUUUGUGGAAAACUACGGCGGUUGGUG